UUUAUUGUCUAAUCAAUAAAAAGAGAUAGUAUUUUGAGUUUAUUUCAAGAUGUCUAUAUACGAGCUAAGAAGCUGGAUGUAUAUACGUAAAGAUUCAGAUGGGGCGUUGACAGAAGAGUUCAAGAACGGGUUAGAAAUAUUUAUGUAUCAGGCUACAAAUAUGGAGAGAACGAAAGAUAACGGGAAGAUGUUUUGUCAAAGAGAUAGUAACCGAUGCUAAUGUCAAAGAGAUAGUGAAGAGAUUCAAACAAAAAACAUUGCCUACAAUGAACUCCAACAAAUCGAGUACAAACAAAAUUCGAAUAUCAUACAUAGCAGACUCUUUUCCCUUUUAUCCGCUUGCAUCAUCGUAACGACCAUAUAUACAUGGCAAACUCUUUUCCCUUUGUUUAUGACUUUCAAUCAUGAGAAAUUUUUCCCCCAAAAUCGACAAACCCUAAAUUUUAAAAUUCAAUUUCGUCAAACCCCACAAUUCGAGUGUAACCGUUGUUAAAACAUCAUCUACAUGCAUACGCCGAUACACAAAAACCCCUAAUUUGAACUUUCAAUCAUAUCAAAAAAUUUCCCGAAAUUCGAGAAACCUUAAAUUCUUCAAUUCAGUUUACCAAAACCAACAAUUCGACUGUAAUCGAUGUUAAACAACAUCUACAUGCACACGCCGGUACAUUAAAACCCCUAAUUUGAACCGACGAUUAAUCCAAAAAAAUUUCCCCAAAUCGACAAACCCUAAUUUCCCCAAUAGUUCAGCAAAUAAAAGAAAUAAACGGUUAGAAAGAUGAUUACCUUACGCAGAGGACGGAAGAGAUGGACCUGAGGCGCAGAAAACGACCGGAAAGAACGAUCUCCGGGAUUCGGCGAUGUCACUCGAUAUCGCCUCCGCCGUCGCUUUCGAGAGAGAAGAAAAGAGACAAAGGGUUUUUUUGUUUUCCCCGACCCAAAUUUUU
rnacentral:lncRNA from 1 species